UCCAGACUCCUACGGGAGGCAGCAGUGGGGAAUAUUGCACAAUGGGGGAAACCCUGAUGCAGCGACGCCGCGUGAGUGAAGAAGUAUUUCGGUAUGUAAAGCUCUAUCAGCAGGGAAGAAAAUGACGGUACCUGAAGAAGAAGCCCCGGCUAACUACGUGCCAGCAGCCGCGGUAAUACGUAGGGGGCAAGCGUUAUCCGGAUUUACUGGGUGUAAAGGGGGCGCAGACGGCGAUGCAAGCCAGGAGUGAAAGCCCGGGGCCCAACCCCGGGACUGCUCUUGGAACUGCGUGGCUGGAGUGUCGGAGAGGCAGGCGGAAUUCCUAGUGUAGCGGUGAAAUGCGUAGAUAUUAGGAGGAACACCAGUGGCGAAGGCGGCCUGCUGGACGAUGACUGACGUUGAGGCUCGAAAGCGUGGGGAGCAAACAGGAUUAGAUACCCGCGUA
rnacentral:rRNA from 1 species